rnacentral:lncRNA from 1 species
AGUGCUAGUUUAGUGCCAACCAGUCCCCACCUUCUCGGGCCUCCUCCCACUGGUUCCUCCCCUUUCAGCUGCUCUGGUUCAUAUAAAAACUCCACAGCCUUUCACUCACGGCCUGAAGGAGCCUCCCUCCCCACUGCUGCCGCACAAGACAGUGAGAACGACCCACAGGACCACAGAGAGACAUGAAGAGCCUGCUCCUUCUCUCAAUUCUGGCUGCCUUGGCCAUGGCAGCUUUAUGUUAUGGUGAGAAUCCUUUCUCCUGGCAUUUCUCCAGUUUUUCUUUGCUGCCUCUGACUUCAGUUCACUUUGAUUUUUCCUCCACCUCCUCCACUUCUUCUCUCUUUCUCUAUUAUAAUCUUAAAGUACCAUCAAUUUAACCUUUCCCAAGCCCCAUGGACAUUCAUCCAUUCCAUCAAGUUUUUUUUGCAUCUUAAAUAUCCAGAUUCCUGUAUUCAACUUAUUAGGCAAGUUCUUUCUAUGAAUCUCACGAAAGCUUGGAAUCCUAUGAACUUAAUCCCUUCCUUAACAGGAGAAAUGCUAAUACCUUUAUGACUCCGCAGCAGAGAUGGAGAGCUAGAGCCCAAGAAAGGAUCCGAGAAAGCACCAAGCCUGCCCAUGAGCUCAACCGGGAAGCCUGUGAGGACUUCAAACUUUGCGAACGCUAUGCUAUGGUUUACGGAUACGAUGCUGCCUACAAUCGCUAUUUCCGGCAGCGCCGAUGGGAAAAAUGAGAUUGGGAAACGUCUCUUUCUUUCCAGAGCCUGGUGCCUGGUUUUGUAUUCCCUUGCAGUAGCAUCACUGAACUAUAUAGACACACACAAAUUGCUUGUUUCUUAAAUGUUCUCGUCUGGCUGCACCCGUCCUUCCUGCCCGCAUUGAUGAGUAGUGAAAGUGCAGUGUAGUGAAGGUUGAAGGGGAGUUAAGAUGUGUAAUUACUACACAAUAAACUUCUGGUUGGAUCCUUUCAUUUUGUGAGUCUGAUUCUUCUGGGAAAAUGCUGAGAUGUUUAAAUCACAGCCAUCUAACCCAGAAUAGGAGAUUCUGUCAGUCAUGUUCUAGUGUCAAUCAGAAGCAAAACUAUAUAGGAAUAAUGAACUUUAGAAGACAUUCACCCAGCCCUAAUUUGUCUAGACUCUCUCUGCCUUGGUAUCAGUAAAUGAUUGCUUUCUAUUAUGUGUUUUCCAGGAUUUUCAAACAUCAUAGACACUUAACCAUUUUAUUUUCCUGCUCCCAAACUUUAAAUGGCUCCUAAAUUCCUUCCGUGUGUGACUCUGUAUCCUGGCUCAUCACCCUCAUGUGAAAGUUAUCAGUUCCUAAGAUGCUACACUUUCCACUCUUACUUGUACAGAGAAAAUAUUUGCUUUCAUAAUCACCAGUGAUGUUAAAAUGACACAUCCGUGGAAUUUUGGAGCCAGACAUGAUGCUAGAGGUCCUUUAGGCCUGAUUUGCUGAGGAGUAAAUGAGGCUCCGAAGUCUUCCCUCCUUGGUUGUUAAGAAUAGAAGCCAGCACUUCUCAGUGUCAAUUCAGACUUUGUUCUUUUCUGCCAUGUACACUUGUCAAGCCCACCUUUUACAUCCAUUCCUUCUGGUAGGUCCACUGUAUAUCUCUUUAGUGGAGUGUCUUUCCACUCCUUCAAAAUCCUACUCAAAACUCAAGUACUUUAUGAAAUCAGUAAUGAUUAAAACUACUCACCUUGUAUCAGUAUUCAGCCUUUUGAGAAUGAUGUAAAGAACUAAGUACGAUAUUAUUCAGUUCGUGUUUUGAUUAAAGUUUAUUUUCAUGUAUAUUUGGCUUGUCUAGCAUUAUGGUAAAUUCUUUGAGAGCAGGCACUGUAACUGCAAUUUUUCCUCUCUAUAACCUUAGUACCAUGUUCUGUUCACAAAGAGUAUUCUGUGAAAGCUGAAUGAACAACAGACUGCCUAGUCAUGCCUGGGAGUGAUCACCGAAUUCUGAAACGGUUAGAUUCAUCAUAAAAAUGUGUGUUGUAUAUUUUAAACCAUGAUCAUGUUAAUAUGAUGGUGAGAUUUGUAUAAUUUUCUGAGCUCUUUUGCAUGCAGUAACUCAUUAGAUAAUACAACAACCCAGAAGAUGGGUAAUAUUUAGAUGGUAAAAUUGAGACUCAGAGAAAUAACUUUCUGAAGAUGUUGCAGUAGAUGCAGGGGUAUGCCACUCAGACUGAGAAAUUAUUCCCAUGGCCACCAGGGUAUUGGGAGCUGAUGGUUUCCAGCUCAGAACUUGAGUACAUCUCUCUACAGAUCUCUAGAGCACUCUUUGUGAGCAUCUCUCUCCUCUCUGGUUCUCUUUCCUCUGAUUACUAACCACCUCUCUGGACUCCCAGCUGCGUCUCCUCAAUUGAGGAGAGCCAUAAAAGCUCUGUCAGGGUUCCAUUUUCCUUCCCAUGGCCUGAAAAGUCUCCAGGAAGUAAGUUGGGACAAUUAAAGGGCUCACUUUAUUUGUCUCCCAUCUCUCAUGCAUCACUGUCAAGCAAUUCAAAAGAAGAUAAAAGGAAAACAAAAAGAGGAAAAGGGGAAAAAACUCAGAAGAGAUAAAUUGAAAACAAGUGGCAAGGUGAUAGACUUAAACCUAUCUCAAUAAUCUCAUUAUAUGUAAAUAGUAUAAACGGUCCAAUUAUUUUUUUACUUCUACACAUGUUAUAGAUCCUACAGUAUGUUGUUUAAUAUUUUUCUUGAACAAUUAUUUUUUAAAAGGUUUAGAUAAUACAAAAAAUAUCUCAUACGUCUACCCAUGUAGUUUCCAUUUUGAUGUUCUUCAUUCUUUUGUGUGCAUCCAGAUUUCCAUCUGGUGUAAUUUUCCUUUGGC